CUCCUCUACAUCACAGACCAACAACACAGACAGUGUCCGUAGUCACCUCGUCACCGAUCUUCAGGAACUUCAGAUCCAUUUCUCUGGACCUCUUCCUGGGUUGACCAGGACUUUAAACACACAGAACCUUUCUGAUCACAUCAGAUCAAAGUUUGAUUUAAAGUCAGCUUCUUCAUCACUCUGAAGAGGAGAUCUCAACACUUCAGGAGGACCAGGAGACCUCUCUCCUCAUCUGUCUGAAUUAAUGGACAAAAAUGAAGUCAGAAUGGUGCAGGAGAGAACAGAUGAAGUCAGAAGAGCAAGAUAUGUUGCAGGAGGAGUAGGAGCAGCAGUAGGAAUAGUAAUCCAGCUCCUUGCAGCUCCGGUCACUGGGGGGGUUAGUUUAGCUGUAGCAGGAGCGUUAGCAGUAGUAGCAGCAGGAGGAGCUGCAGGAAGAGCUGUAGUAGGGGCAGUAGGAAUAGUCCUGUUCCUUGCAGCUCUGUUCAAUGGGGGGGUUAGUUUAGGAGGAGCGUUAGCAGUGGUAGUAGCAGGAGGAACUGCAGGAAGAGCUGUAGUAGCAGGAGCAGCUGCAGUAGAAGAAGCAGUAGUAGGACGAUCAGUAGCAGGAGGAGUAGGAGCAAUAGUAGGAGUAGGACUCAUGACCCUUGCAGCUCCGUACACUGAGGGGGGUAAUUUAGCAGCAGUAGUAGCGAUAGCAGUAGCAGCAGGAGCUGUAGUAGGAAAGUUAGCUUUAGAAGGAAGAAGAUAAGCUGUGGUUGUAAAUGCAAUAAAAACAAUGAAGAUAAUAGAAGUGUAAAUAAAGUAGAAGAGCUGGGUAAAGAGUUCAUAGAGAUCAUAGAAUGGGUGAAGAAUGACCUGGAAGAAAUAAAGAGGAGGGGUGACAAGUUGGAGCAAAGAUCAGCUGAUGUUCAUGCUGGAAUCACUCUGAUACACGUGAAGGAGUUUCAGAGGAUUAUUAGACAAGUUUCUGAAGAUAGAAGAGAAAUCACCAUUUUGGCAGAUCUAUGUGGCAGAGUUGUUAAUGACUUUGAUCAGAUGAAGAAAGAAGUCAAAGACUGACUGUUAGUGUUUGAUCAUUUAUCUAACAUACUGGACUUUAUGUAACUGAAUCAGAUGAACAAUAAUACUUAAUGAUAUUUGAUAUGUUGGACUGUUGAUCUCUGGUUUAAUAUUAAAUUUCACUCACUGUUGGAC